GAUGAAGAACGCAGCGAAAUGCGAUACGUAAUGUGAAUUGCAGAAUUCAGUGAAUCAUCGAGUCUUUGAACGCACAUUGCGCCCCCUGGUAUUCCGGGGGGCAUGCCUGUCCGAGCGUCAUUGCUGCCCUCAAGCACGGCUUGUGUGUUGGGCCUUCGUCCUCCUCCCGGGGGACGGGCCCGAAAGGCAGCGGCGGCACCGCGUCCGGUCCUCGAGCGUAUGGGGCUUCGUCACCCGCUCUUGUAGGCCCGGCCGGCGCUUGCCGACACAUCAAUCUUUUUUCCAGGUUGACCUCGGAUCAGGUAGGGAUACCCGCUGAACUUAAGCAUAUCAAUAAGCGGAGGA
rnacentral:misc_RNA from 1 species